ensembl:lncRNA
CUCUAAUACAGUGUAAUGAUACAAUCUUGACUCGGGGGGUUGGCAACGACUUCAAGGAGUUGACUUUUGAGUUGGCCCUUGAGGCAUGAGUAGGUAUGUAACAGGAGGUGAGGGUUUCUCAGCUGAGGAACAGCGUUGAGUAAAGGCAGGAAACCAGUCCGAUGUCCCUGGAAUAUGACAUGUGUGAACAGAAGUUACUGAAGAGAGGGCUGGCAAAGCGCAGGGGGAGGACAGGCUGUAUAGGGCCUUUAUCCUGCAGGCCAUGGGAGACAAUUAUUAGCUGAUAAAUAACAAAUACGAGCUGAUGUUUGCGCCCCUACGCUAUCUAGGCUAGGCACUGUUUAGGAAUUUAGUUCUCUCACCAACCCACUGAAAGACGAGAUAGUAGCCUCACCUUACAGCCAAAGAAACUGAGGCUUUGAGUAGUUAAUUUGCAUUCUUGGAUCUCUUUUCUAUUAUCAAACUGACUCCUGUUAUUUACACAUUUUUCUCAAGUUCUUAGGAUUGAAAAUGAGCUAUUUCCAAGGGAUAAACCAUACAAAUUGAGGCCCUCUUAGUUCCUUAGAAGGAAGUUGGCUGUUCCUUGACCAGUCCCACGGAGCGGAGGAGCGCUGGCCGCCUUCUGCUCCCGAAGGAUCUUUCUGCUGUCCCCGAGCGCUCCCUCGGUCGCAGACACCUGACUUCAGGAAUGUCAUUAAACAGCUUUAGCAGAAAUAGGGAUGAACAAAGACCAAACUCACGAGAGAAUCAAAUACAUCAGCUAAAAUUAUCAGACAGGGGCCAGCCUGUGGCGCCCUCAGCUUCGGGGGCCUAGGAUUUCACUGGUUCGGAUCCUGGGCGCCACGUGGCACCGCUCACCAGGCCAUGCUGAGGCGGUCUCCCACAUGCCACAACUAGAAGGACUCGCAACUAAAAAUAGACAGCUGUGUACUGGGGGGCUUUGGGGAGAAAAAGGGAAAAAAAUCUUAAAAAACAAUUAUCAGACAAAAUUUUUUCAAAGGAUAAUGGUCUGUGCUUCCUUCUUUAGGUGUUGUACCCUGUGGUUCUGGGGGCUCAGAUGUAAAUAUGAUUUGAGCGUAUUGCCUGCUGGGAGGCAUUAAAGAAAGGAAACAGUUUCUGGAGACUACGUUUCUUUCCUCUUCUGUAACUUCAGUUUGUCGCCCUGAAAGCGGACAGUCUGACAGGGACACCACCUGAGAAACACGAGCUCACAUUUUCGUGGGGGAUGCAUGUGGGCCGGACGCAGAAAGGCUGAAAGCUAGAUCCCGGGCACAGCUAAACAGCGAUUUGGAAACCCUAAAACCGAGGGGGCAAGAACGCACAAGAAUGGCUCAUUUUCCACUCCUACCGUGCACUCCAGAUUUUCCGUACCUCAACGCCAGACGCUGUCCAACUCUUAUUAUACUAAAACCUCAGGUCGAUGCUUUUCUUAGCGCUCGGCAGCACUGGAACCCCGAGGCACGCAAGAGUGCGGCAGGCGCAUCCGGUCGAGCUCGCGGGACCACUCAAGGGCCCGGGGCGCCCGGCGGGCUUCCGGGCACGCCCCGCCUCGCCCGCCGCUCCGGCGCCGGGGGAGCGGCGUCUCCUAGGAGACCGCGGGGCACGAGUGCGCAGGCGCGCAGCCGGCGGCUGAUGCAACCGCGCGCGCAGCCGCCCGCGCAGGAAG